rnacentral:tRNA from 1 species
AGGGAAAUAGCUCAGUGGUAGAGCACAUGCACAGGGUUCUGGGUUCAAUCCCCAGUAUCUCCA